rnacentral:rRNA from 1 species
AGCGUACACGGUGGAUGCCCUGGCAGUCAGAGGCGAUGAAGGACGUGCUAAUCUGCGAUAAGCGUCGGUGAGGUGAUAUGAACCGUUAUAACCGGCGAUUUCCGAAUGGGGAAACCCAGUGUGUUUCGACACACUAUCAUUAACUGAAUCCAUAGGUUAAUGAGGCGAACCGGGGGAACUGAAACAUCUAAGUACCCCGAGGAAAAGAAAUCAACCGAGAUUCCCCCAGUAGCGGCGAGCGAACGGGGAGGAGCCCAGAGCCUGAAUCAGUGUGUGUGUUAGUGGAAGCGUCUGGAAAGGCGCGCGAUACAGGGUGACAGCCCCGUACACAAAAAUGCACAUAUUGUGAGCUCGAUGAGUAGGGCGGGACACGUGGUAUCCUGUCUGAAUAUGGGGGGACCAUCCUCCAAGGCUAAAUACUCCUGACUGACCGAUAGUGAACCAGUACCGUGAGGGAAAGGCGAAAAGAACCCCGGCGAGGGGAGUGAAAAAGAACCUGAAACCGUGUACGUACAAGCAGUGGGAGCCUCUUAAUGGGGUGACUGCGUACCUUUUGUAUAAUGGGUCAGCGACUUAUAUUCUGUAGCAAGGUUAACCGAAUAGGGGAGCCGAAGGGAAACCGAGUCUUAACUGGGCGUUAAGUUGCAGGGUAUAGACCCGAAACCCGGUGAUCUAGCCAUGGGCAGGUUGAAGGUUGGGUAACACUAACUGGAGGACCGAACCGACUAAUGUUGAAAAAUUAGCGGAUGACUUGUGGCUGGGGGUGAAAGGCCAAUCAAACCGGGAGAUAGCUGGUUCUCCCCGAAAGCUAUUUAGGUAGCGCCUCGUGAAUUCAUCUCCGGGGGUAGAGCACUGUUUCGGCAAGGGGGUCAUCCCGACUUACCAACCCGAUGCAAACUGCGAAUACCGGAGAAUGUUAUCACGGGAGACACACGGCGGGUGCUAACGUCCGUCGUGAAGAGGGAAACAACCCAGACCGCCAGCUAAGGUCCCAAAGUCAUGGUUAAGUGGGAAACGAUGUGGGAAGGCCCAGACAGCCAGGAUGUUGGCUUAGAAGCAGCCAUCAUUUAAAGAAAGCGUAAUAGCUCACUGGUCGAGUCGGCCUGCGCGGAAGAUGUAACGGGGCUAAACCAUGCACCGAAGCUGCGGCAGCGACACUAUGUGUUGUUGGGUAGGGGAGCGUUCUGUAAGCCUGUGAAGGUGGCCUGUGAGGGUUGCUGGAGGUAUCAGAAGUGCGAAUGCUGACAUAAGUAACGAUAAAGCGGGUGAAAAGCCCGCUCGCCGGAAGACCAAGGGUUCCUGUCCAACGUUAAUCGGGGCAGGGUGAGUCGACCCCUAAGGCGAGGCCGAAAGGCGUAGUCGAUGGGAAACAGGUUAAUAUUCCUGUACUUGGUGUUACUGCGAAGGGGGGACGGAGAAGGCUAUGUUGGCCGGGCGACGGUUGUCCCGGUUUAAGCGUGUAGGCUGGUUUUCCAGGCAAAUCCGGAAAACCAAGGCUGAGGCGUGAUGACGAGGCACUACGGUGCUGAAGCGACAAAUGCCCUGCUUCCAGGAAAAGCCUCUAAGCAUCAGGUAACAUCAAAUCGUACCCCAAACCGACACAGGUGGUCAGGUAGAGAAUACCAAGGCGCUUGAGAGAACUCGGGUGAAGGAACUAGGCAAAAUGGUGCCGUAACUUCGGGAGAAGGCACGCUGAUAUGUAGGUGAAGCGACUUGCUCGUGGAGCUGAAAUCAGUCGAAGAUACCAGCUGGCUGCAACUGUUUAUUAAAAACACAGCACUGUGCAAACACGAAAGUGGACGUAUACGGUGUGACGCCUGCCCGGUGCCGGAAGGUUAAUUGAUGGGGUUAGCGGUAACGCGAAGCUCUUGAUCGAAGCCCCGGUAAACGGCGGCCGUAACUAUAACGGUCCUAAGGUAGCGAAAUUCCUUGUCGGGUAAGUUCCGACCUGCACGAAUGGCGUAAUGAUGGCCAGGCUGUCUCCACCCGAGACUCAGUGAAAUUGAACUCGCUGUGAAGAUGCAGUGUACCCGCGGCAAGACGGAAAGACCCCGUGAACCUUUACUAUAGCUUGACACUGAACAUUGAGCCUUGAUGUGUAGGAUAGGUGGGAGGCUUUGAAGUGUGGACGCCAGUCUGCAUGGAGCCGACCUUGAAAUACCACCCUUUAAUGUUUGAUGUUCUAACGUGGGCCCGUAAUCCGGGUUGCGGACAGUGUCUGGUGGGUAGUUUGACUGGGGCGGUCUCCUCCUAAAGAGUAACGGAGGAGCACGAAGGUUGGCUAAUCCUGGUCGGACAUCAGGAGGUUAGUGCAAUGGCAUAAGCCAGCUUGACUGCGAGCGUGACGGCGCGAGCAGGUGCGAAAGCAGGUCAUAGUGAUCCGGUGGUUCUGAAUGGAAGGGCCAUCGCUCAACGGAUAAAAGGUACUCCGGGGAUAACAGGCUGAUACCGCCCAAGAGUUCAUAUCGACGGCGGUGUUUGGCACCUCGAUGUCGGCUCAUCACAUCCUGGGGCUGAAGUAGGUCCCAAGGGUAUGGCUGUUCGCCAUUUAAAGUGGUACGCGAGCUGGGUUUAGAACGUCGUGAGACAGUUCGGUCCCUAUCUGCCGUGGGCGCUGGAGAACUGAGGGGGGCUGCUCCUAGUACGAGAGGACCGGAGUGGACGCAUCACUGGUGUUCGGGUUGUCAUGCCAAUGGCACUGCCCGGUAGCUAAAUGCGGAAGAGAUAAGUGCUGAAAGCAUCUAAGCACGAAACUUGCCCCGAGAUGAGUUCU